rnacentral:lncRNA from 1 species
GGUCGGCAAGAGUGUUGUUUUCUACCUCACGUCACCGUAGUGAUGAUGACACGUGUGGUAUGGAACCCCUUAUCUAUCGCUCAGCAAGAAAAUAUGCCACCACGCACGCUUCUCCAUUGUUUAUGAAUUUUGCUUUUCUGCUUCGUAUCAUGCGACCGACGAGGAUUUCUUGCUGAAUUUCAAUCGCAAACAAUUCACAAAGAGGUAAGCUCUGCCUUUUCUGAUCAUAAGAAAACUCCUCGUACCAUAAUUCACUUUUUAUUUUUUUAUGGGAAACCAGUUUCUUUAUACACAAGGAGCAGUUUGGAUUGAGUGGGAGUGUUAGUAAUUUAGAUGUAUCUUAAUUAAUUGGGAAUCCAUACUUGAACAUGUAGCUAGAAAUUUGAGUAUCAAUGAAAUUGAAAGUGGAAAAUGGGUUUGUUUCCUGUUCCAGUCAAGUGAUUUUGCAUGUUAAACAUGACAGAUACUUACUUAGGUUUAACCUGUUAACUGUUCCUUUUCAUCUCCACUCACCAAAAUUAACAUCAAUACUGAUGUUGUUCUUUCCAAGCGACGACGAAGACGACGAUUAGUUGAUCCCAAUACAUACGCAUGUUCUUACAAACGGAGGCAAAAGCCCUAAAAGGAGGGGAAAGAAAGGGGUAGAGCCCUUGAGCCAGCUUUCUGUGGGGAUUUUGGAAGUUGUGUGUCAAUCUCCAUGUGUGCUCUUUAGUUGUCAAUGAGGCACAAACUUCUCACAUCGGAUCGGAGAGUAAUUGUGAAUGUGAGAAUAUAUAAAGCUCUGCACUGCGUGUCCUAAGAUUACCCUAGUUUUUGUUUUUUUUUGACGUAGGGUGUCUGGUCCCCGUUCAAGAAAGAAAAAAAAGAAAAAAGAAAAUAUGUUCAUCCUUAAUGCCAAAAUCUAGGUUUGGAGGGACAUUUGAAUGAGGCAAGCUCGCAUGCUUGCUUUAUAUAUAUAGUUCUUAAGAUGCUGCUUUGUCCAGAUGAGGUUUUCAUUUGCACCCCAAAUGUUCAUAGGGAUUCAAUGCAGAAAUGCUUUGUUUCAUGCUUCUAUCUUUUCGUUGCCAUGCCCAAUUUAUGGUGUUGAUUUGACUGGGUAAUUCUCGGUUAUGCCAUUUGGAUUCUUGGCCUUGAAGAGAAAGGUGUGAUCUUAGAUAUGUUUUAAUUAAGAUGUCUAUUGGAGAAUUCUUGUUAAAACAUUGUUAAUGAGAUUUUUUAAGGUUAAAUUAAAAGUGAAGUUUACUCUUAGUGUUGAAACUUUAUUCGAAUUUAAUCUUUAACAUAAAUUUAUAAAUUUGAAAUAUUAAUAUGACUUUAAAAAAUUAUAACUGAAUGAGAAAUUCAUCUAAUAAAAUUUUUAAUUGACAUGUUUUUGAUAAAUUUAAAAGCUUCUAAGACGCCUUUUCCACUUAGAAAAAAAACAUUUAUAUAGUGGGAAAAUUCAAAUUUAAAAUUAGGCUCAUAAAACACCCAAACUUAUAAAAAGAAGAUGAUCUAAGCAAAAUGAGUUUUGGAUUUAAAUCCAUGUGCAUGGCCUGACCCGACUUUGCUUGUGCUUAGGCUCUAGACUUUAUUGUAAAAUAUUUUUUUGUGCUAUAAAAAAUUAUUUUUACCACCUUAAUUUUAGGCUUAAGUUUGUUCCAUGAAAAAUUAUUUUUUAGUCCAUUCUUUUGUUCAGCCAAUGAAUUAAGUUUGAUAAUUUUUUUUUCAUUUUUUGUCUAGAACUUACUCUUUAUAACCUAGAUAGUUUUUUGGACAUACUUUUCUAGCUCUUUAAAACCAAAUCUAUUAGGUUUAAUUAUGGUUUUAUGAUGGGUAAUCAAAGUUGAUGAUGGAAUCAAAAUCAAUUCUUAUUAGUUUUGAUUCUAAAAUUCAAUAUAAAAAAGGGGUUGUAGGAAAAGUUCUUUGAAUAGUUUUUUUCUAGAAUUUUUAGAUUCUUCCUUACUUUAUAUUUUUGGUUUUUUUUAUUUGUUUUGAAGCUUUGGAUUUCCUCCUAAUCUAGAUCUUAUGAUCGGUUUUGUUGAGAGAUACUUGACUAUAUUUUCUUGUGUUCGUGGACUUUAUUUAGAAAUGCAUUUAAACAAUGUGGUGGAAUCUUGAAAGGCUUAUUGCAACUAAUUUUUUGUACCAAGCUAGAAACAAUAAAACUUUAUGAUUAAAUGAUUCAUUAUUGACAACAACAAUUUUAAACUUGAUAUACCUUUAAGUGCUUUAACAAGCAAGUAUUGUAUACUAGUUUUGCUUAAGUAGAAAUAAUAUAUAUUCAUAGUAUGCAUGUUAUGAUUGUGUUAAUUGUUUUUUAUUCAACAUUAGAUAUGUGCUAAUGUAGCUAUAACCCAUGCUAUACAUAAAGCUAAAACAUGUGGUGCUUUUAAUGUUAACAAAAAAAUCAUUCACCCUCUUAUAUUUUAUUAUGGAUUACAAUAGUGCAAUUUUUAAAAAUUUUUAAUUUGAUUAUCGAACUUUUUUGUUUUGCACAAUUGAGCCAUUUAGAAAUCAAAUAAGAGCCUAAUUGCAUGAUAUAUAUAUAUAUAUAUAUAUAUAUAUAUGGUUAAAUUGAAAGAAAAUGGACUAAAGUGAACAAAUGAUAACAUAGGUGGCAAAUUGAAAAUUUCUGUUAAAAAUUUAUUUGAGUCCCCUAUUUUUUUUAUCUAUCGGGUUAAUAGUCCCUAGAAUUUUACAAAAUUCAAUUUUGGUACCGAACUUCAUUUUACUCAUUUUCAGUUCUUUAUUGGUUGGAGAAGAGAGAGGAGGUCGCCAGAUUCCGGUUUAGAGAGAAUGUUUGUCGGUGGGGAAUUCAGCCACAAAAAUGGUCAUUUGUUUUUAUGUCAAAUGGUUCUAUAUGAUUAAGGGAGUUAAGAUUAUGUGUUUUUUUUUUUUACCUUGAAAACACCUAAACAAAUCAUAUUUGAGUUCAAGAAGUUUUUUUUUGUUUGUUUUGAGUGGAUUUUGGGUUUUAAGGCGGCUUUUUAUGUUUUUUCGAGGUCAUGGAUUCGUUUAGCAAGGUUUCUAAGGUAUUUUCUAGGUGUUUUGGGCCAAAAAGGGUUUGCAAACUAGUUUUUAGGUAAAAAAACAAAGAACCUUAUUUUUUUAGCUACCACAGUGGCUGGAUUCUAGGGAUGAACAAACGAGCGUCGUUUGCCCCGUUAUUUUAAAAAAAAUAUAGGCCCAUGCAAGGGCUGUUGCUUGAUUAGGACAAGCAUUAGGCCUAGCCUACUAGGCCCAACAACGCCUGACCUGAUUUUUUUUAAAAUUUUUAUUUUUUAAGAAAAGAUUAAUGCAUUAGUUGAUUUUUGUUUUCAAAUAAAUUUUGGGUUUACAUUUUAAUUAGUUUGUGAUGAUUUUUUUUUAAAGUAUUGGGUGUUUUAGUUUUGAAAGAGGUAUGAAUGAUUCAUCUGUUAUUAUUUUUUAAAAUUUUAUAUAGAUUAAAUUUGUUUAUUUUUUAUAUUGAUUUUUUUAUAAGAUUUUCAUAUGUGCAGCCUUGUAUUUUUUUAUUCAAUAAAUUUUAUGUGUGUGUUGGUUUCUAUUACAAUUUUUAUAUGUUUUUCUAUUACAAAUUUAUUUUGAAAGAGAAAUUCCUUAAACACAAGGUAAAUUACUCGUGUUACGAUGUUAAAAUCUUCAUUUUUUACUUAAUUUUUAAAAGUAUCUCAGUAUUAUGUUGGUGUUUUAUUUUGUGAUCGUAUAUAUUUUUUUUAUCAUGUAGUUGCAUAAAAAAUGGUUUUGGAAAAAAUAAUAAUAUAAUCUCAUUGGAGUGAGGAGUCUAUAACCCG